rnacentral:rRNA from 1 species
AACGGGUGAGUAACACGUGGGUAACCUGCCCAUCAGAAGGGGAUAACACUUGGAAACAGGUGCUAAUACCGUAUAACAAUCGAAACCGCAUGGUUUUGAUUUGAAAGGCGCUUUCGGGUGUCGCUGAUGGAUGGACCCGCGGUGCAUUAGCUAGUUGGUGAGGUAACGGCUCACCAAGGCCACGAUGCAUAGCCGACCUGAGAGGGUGAUCGGCCACAUUGGGACUGAGACACGGCCCAAACUCCUACGGGAGGCAGCAGUAGGGAAUCUUCGGCAAUGGACGAAAGUCUGACCGAGCAACGCCGCGUGAGUGAAGAAGGUUUUCGGAUCGUAAAACUCUGUUGUUAGAGAAGAACAAGGAUGAGAGUAACUGUUCAUCCCUUGACGGUAUCUAACCAGAAAGCCACGGCUAACUACGUGCCAGCAGCCGCGGUAAUACGUAGGUGGCAAGCGUUGUCCGGAUUUAUUGGGCGUAAAGCGAGCGCAGGCGGUUUCUUAAGUCUGAUGUGAAAGCCCCCGGCUCAACCGGGGAGGGUCAUUGGAAACUGGGAGACUUGAGUGCAGAAGAGGAGAGUGGAAUUCCAUGUGUAGCGGUGAAAUGCGUAGAUAUAUGGAGGAACACCAGUGGCGAAGGCGGCUCUCUGGUCUGUAACUGACGCUGAGGCUCGAAAGCGUGGGGAGCAAACAGGAUUAGAUACCCUGGUAGUCCACGCCGUAAACGAUGAGUGCUAAGUGUUGGAGGGUUUCCGCCCUUCAGUGCUGCAGCUAACGCAUUAAGCACUCCGCCUGGGGAGUACGACCGCAAGGUUGAAACUCAAAGGAAUUGACGGGGGCCCGCACAAGCGGUGGAGCAUGUGGUUUAAU